rnacentral:rRNA from 1 species
CACGCAGUAAACGAUGAUCACUAGCUGUUUGCGAUACACUGUAAGCGGCACAGCGAAAGCGUUAAGUGAUCCACCUGGGGAGUACGCCGGCAACGGUGAAACUCAAAGGAAUUGACGGGGGCCCGCACAAGCGGAGGAACAUGUGGUUUAAUUCGAUGAUACGCGAGGAACCUUACCCGGGUUUGAACGCAUUCGGACCGAGGUGGAAACACCUUUUCUAGCAAUAGCCGUUUGCGAGGUGC